rnacentral:rRNA from 1 species
UACGUAGGGGGCGAGCGUUGUCCGGAAUCAUUGGGCGUAAAGCGCGUGUAGGCGGUUCGGUAAGUCUGCUGUGAAAGUCCAGGGCUCAACCCUGGGAUGCCGGUGGAUACUGCUGAACUAGAGUGCGGAAGAGGCGAGUGGAAUUCCCGGUGUAGCGGUGAAAUGCGCAGAUAUCGGGAGGAACACCAAUUGCGAAGGCAGCUCGCUGGGACGUUACUGACGCUGAGACGCGAAAGCGUGGGGAGCGAACAGG